CUUGCAGGUUCUUCACAAGGCCUAUGCAGACAGCCUGGACAUUAUGCUGAGGAGCCUGCUCACAGAAACCCUCACCAUGGACAAGCUGUAGCACCUCUUGGAGAGUGACGGAAGAGAGAGUGAGAUCCAUAUGGAGCAGCACUGCCCUACUUCAAUACACUACCUGCCUCCCAUGAUUUGAUAGCUCAUCUAACUUCCCCAAGGUGGGAUAUCUUGUGGCACAGCUGGGUCUCUAUAUCACUGACCCAGCAUGUGACAUCAGCUGCAAUCCAGGGAGGGGAUUUACAGGAUCUACCAGCUACUGCUGCAGAAGAGGGG